AGUGAACGCUGGCGGUAGGCCUAACACAUGCAAGUCGAACGGCAGCACAGGAGAGCUUGCUCUCUGGGUGGCGAGUGGCGGACGGGUGAGGAAUACAUCGGAAUCUACUCUGUCGUGGGGGAUAACGUAGGGAAACUUACGCUAAUACCGCAUACGACCUACGGGUGAAAGCAGGGGACCUUCGGUCCUUGCGCGAUUGAAUGAGCCGAUGUCGGAUUAGCUAGUUGGCGGGGUAAAGGCCCACCAAGGCGACGAUCCGUAGCUGAUCUGAGAGGAUGAUCAGCCACACUGGAACUGAGACACGGUACAGACUCCUACGGGAGGCAGCAGUGGGGAAUAUUGGACAAUGGGCGCAAGCCUGAUCCAGCCAUACCGCGUGGGUGAAGAAGGCCUUCGGGUUGUAAAGCCCUUUUGUUGGGAAAGAAAUCCAGCUGGCUAAUACCCGGUUGGGAUGACGGUACCCAAAGAAUAAGCACCGGCUAACUUCGUGCCAGCAGCCGCCGUAA
rnacentral:rRNA from 1 species